UACGUAGGGCGCGAGCGUUGUCCGGAAUUAUUGGGCGUAAAGAGCUCGUGAGCGGCCUGUUGCGUCCGCUGUGAAAUCCCGGGGCUCAACCCUGGCGUGCAGUGGAUACGGGCAGGCUGGAGGCAGGCAGGGGAGAACGGAAUUCCCGGUGUAGCGGUGAAAUGCGCAGAUAUCGGGAGGAACACCGGUGGCGAAGGCGGUUCUCUGGACAGUUCCUGACGCUGAGGCACGAAGGUCAGGGGAGCAAACGGG
rnacentral:rRNA from 1 species